rnacentral:rRNA from 1 species
GGGCCCGCACAGCGGUGGAGCAUGUGGUUUAAUUCGACGCAACGCGAAGAACCUUACCUGGUCUUGACAUCCUGCGAACUUUCUAGAGAUAGAUUGGUGCCUUCGGGAACGCAGUGACAGGUGCUGCAUGGCUGUCGUCAGCUCGUGUCGUGAGAUGUUGGGUUAAGUCCCGUAACGAGCGCAACCCUUGUCCUUAUUUGCCAUCAUUUAGUUGGGCACUCUAGGGAGACUGCCGGUGACAAACCGGAGGAAGGUGGGGGACGACGUCAAGUCAUCAUGGCCCUUACGACCAGGGCUACACACGUGCUACAAUGGGGCGUACAACGGGCAGCGACACCGCGAGGUGAAGCGAA